rnacentral:rRNA from 1 species
CAUACCUAUUCGAAGGGAUAGGGUCGGUCUGGCCGGAUUUCACACAGGUGUUGCAUGGCUGUCGUCAGCUCGUGUCGUGAGAUGUUGGGUUAAGUCCCGCAACGAGCGCAACCCUCAUCCUUAGUUACCAUCAGGUUAUGCUGGGGACUUUAAGGAAACUGCCAGUGAUAAACUGGAGGAAGGUGGGGAUGAUGUCAAGUCAUCAUGGCCCUUAUGGAGUGGGCUACACACGUGCUACAAUGGUGAUUACAAUGGGCUGCAAGGUCGCAAGGCUGAGCUAAUCCUAAAAAAUCAUCUCAGUUCGGAUUGUUCUCUGCAACUCGAGAGCAUGAAGUUGGAAUCGCUAGUAAUCGUGGAUCAGCAUGCCACGGUGAAUACGUUCUCGGGUCUUGUACACACUGCCCGUCACGCCAUGGGAAUUGGUUUCACUCGAAGCU